rnacentral:lncRNA from 1 species
AAAAUAAGGAUGAACAAAGACCCAGGGACUCUGAUUUCCAGCACAAAGCCAUUCUUCAACUGGAAUGAGCUCUCAGUACAUUCAACAACUUGUGAGAACCUGAAGAAUAUUUGAGAAAUAAAACCAGCUAAUCUUAAAUGUUGCACUUUAUAUUAUUUGAUUUGCAUAGGUAUGUAUCAUUUAUUUAAUGCACAUUUUAUUUUUGCAGUUUCUGGGAAAAUUGUGGAAUUUUUGCAAUUUCACAACUCUUUUAAAUAAAAGCUAUUUUUUUUUAAUUUUUCUUAAGUUUCAGGAUUUUAUUAUCAUGUUGAGAGCCCAAGCCAAGGCCUCACCUCAGAUGAAUUAAACAAGGAUCCAUUGUGGUAUCCCAUUAUCUCCAUGGGAAAACUUACCAUGUGUUAGUGUUGAACAUACCCCACCUGAAAAGUGCUGCUCUCC